rnacentral:rRNA from 1 species
AUCUAUGACCAUAUGACUCUGAACUUACCUGAUCCUUUAUGUUCUCAGAGUCUAAGCAGGUUCAGUCUAGAAAGUAUUUGUUUGGGAGAGAGAAAGAAAGAGAGACAGACA